rnacentral:tRNA from 1 species
GGGGUCGUAGUCAAGCCAGGCAUGACGACGGGCUCCAGACCCGUAGGUCGCAAGUUCAAAUCCUGCCGACCCCACCA